GGUGGCUGGCAACUUGGCGCUUGGGAUAACAGAAAGAGCAUACUAUUCUCUCUGGUUGUUGAGUCUGGUGUUUGCAUAAGUUAACUACGGAGAUUGCGCUGCACUCCUCCGAGGCAAACCUGGAAAGAUUAGAAGAGGAAGCAUUAUAUCAUGUUUCCUUCCCUCCUCUCCGGUUCCUUGGCAACGGGAAAACCCAAACCUCUCAAGCUUGUGAACGGAGGCUUAUUUUUUUGGUCCUCUGCUGCCUCUGUGUGGACAUAGCUGGAAACAACAGUUCAAAAUUUCACUAAGGAGUGUGAAAUGGGACUUCGGGUUCACAGAGGAGAGGUACAGAACUCAAACAAGCUGCCAAUGACUCCAAGAGGUUCUCUUCUUGUCCACCAUCUUUAUUUUUCCCCAAGACAAUUGCACCCUGUAAGCGAGCGAUUCUGUAAAGACUCCCAGUCAUGCAUCUCUGUCGCUUUGGGCCACAACCGGCACCCACGGGCACAGUGCCAACCCUCCCACACCUGCUCUUCCUGUGCUUGGAGUAACAAGUCUGUGGGUUUCUCCCUCGGGUUUCACAGCUU